rnacentral:lncRNA from 1 species
GGGAACACCAAGGGCAUGGCAGCAGCAUCUGGUGGGGUUCUGUGCUACAUUACCCCAUGGUGGAAGGGCAGAGGGCAGAGGGCAGAAGAGGAAAGGCAGAAGAGAAAGACAGCAUGGGAGACAGCAAGAAAAUGGAGGCCAAAACUUAUCCUUUUAUCAGGAAUCCACUCCCACACAUGUUUGUAAACAAUGCCAUCAGGAAUAAAAGUGUUUGAAGCUGAAGCUGGGUCUUCCAUCCAAAUGUGGAAAGCGUGCCAGAGGACUGUCUUUCCCAUUCCCGCCCCACCUGCACAGCCAUAGACAAAGCUCAGCUCCGGGAUAAGAGGAAAAAGCACUGCCUGGACCUGUCCACCAGCAAGCGGACAUUGCUUUGCAUAAACAGGCAGAGGGGCAGGCACCUCAAGGGACUCGCAGAAGUGCCUGGGUAUUUUUAAAUACUUGAGGAGAACACAAGGAUGCCUGUCGGACAUCUCAGGAACUGCUAGCUCCAGGCAAGGCCUCUUUCUGAUAUGGAUGCUGUCACACCAAGAACAUGACAUAGUCCCUUGUGAGGAGGAAGCCUGCGGUGGGGGGCAUAAGCUCCAGACAGCUGCAGUGCAAAGGCCUGAGGCAGAAAAGGGCUCUGCACAUCAGGAAGCUAUACGGAAGCCGGGACCCUAAGGCAGCAGACAGCAAGGAACAGGACAGGGCUGCACGUGACCAGGGGGCAGGAACGGGGCUCUGCAGGCUUUGUUGGAG